GACGAACGCUGGCGGCGUGCCUAAUACAUGCAAGUAGAACGCUGAAGCGAGGAGCUUACUCUUCUUGGAUGAGUUGCGAACGGGUGAGUAACGCGUAGGUAACCUGCCUUGUAGCGGGGGAUAACUAUUGGAAACGAUAGCUAAUACCGCAUAACAAUGGAUGACACAUGUCAUUUAUUUGAAAGGGGCAAUUGCUCCACUACAAGAUGGACCUGCGUUGUAUUAGCUAGUAGGUGAGGUAAUGGCUCACCUAGGCGACGAUACAUAGCCGACCUGAGAGGGUGAUCGGCCACACUGGGACUGAGACACGGCCCAGACUCCUACGGGAGGCAGCAGUAGGGAAUCUUCGGCAAUGGGGGCAACCCUGACCGAGCAACGCCGCGGGAGUGAAGAAGGGUUUCGGAUCGUAAAGCUCUGUUGUAAGUCAAGAACGGGUGUGAGAGUGGAAAGUUCACACUGUGACGGUAGCUUACCAGAAAGGGACGGCUAACUACGUG
rnacentral:rRNA from 1 species